UAAUAUAAAAAAGCCUUUUUCUCAAAUAAAGGAAUGCAUAAUGGGCUUUUCAGUGGGUAAUAAACCAGCAGAAUCUGUUUAUACCAAGGUUUUCAUGAUCUGACAGAUUUUCCUAAAAUUUAGGGUUGUUGCUAUUUGGUAAGAAGUAGGGAGCUUACAUCUUUCUGUUUAUUUUAAUUUUAGGUAAGUUGAUUAGUGCUAAUGGUUCCUCUUCUUUUGUAUACAUUUUUUAUUUCAUCUUGUCAAUGCUUUGUUAUCAGUUACAUCCAGUCUCCUGUAGAGAUGCACUAUUUCACCAUUGCUGUCAUAGUCUAGGACUAAUGAGACAUCUGACAGUUUUUCAUGUUUGUGAUAUGUGUUCUGUAUCCUUAGUACACAGGGGAUGUGCCCAGAUUUGGAGAGUAACUGAGCCUGUGGAAUAGCAAGACGCUUUCUAAUGGCAUUUGACUGUAUUUUCAAAAACCGUUAUGACAAGGGAUGUUACUUUGAGUCAUCAUUCAGUUAAACAAAUAGAUGCAUGCAUUGGGAUUCUUGACUUAGUGUGAAAGUUAUAUUUCACUUGGCAUUUGACUGAAUAUUUGAAUUUAAAAGUUUUAUUACAUAAUAUACAGGCAAAAUAAUCCCAGUGCUUAUUUUGCUUACUACUUGAGAAAGGCAACAAGAAUGAAUUUCUGUAAUGUGUUUGUAGCAAGACAGGUGUUUUGAAGUUAUUUCAUCACAUUAUUUGAUUUGUACACAUCUGUGAGUUUCCAGGUAUAGAAAGAUUUUGUUGACAAUUUCAGUUCCUUUGGAGGUUGAAAUAAUUCAACAUGCAGCUUAUAAUUGCUUCUUUACAUUGUAAGAAUGAUCCUCUUUAGUUAUAAUUGUAUGCUUUGUUCCCAUUCUUACAAUUUUGGAACACUCUUAUGCAUCAAUAUAUUUUAAUAUAUAUAUAGGGGAGAGAAUAAAUUAUUAACCAACUGCUUAAGCUUUAGCUCUAAGAACUUUAUGUUUAUCCUAUAUGAAUUAUUUUCAAAAUUAUUACAUAGUUAAGAUCAUUUCAACUGCAAAACUCAUUGACCCCCAUCUAGUAUACUGGAUAACAUGAGGAAGUUUGACUUUGCUAAUACUUGUCAUUUUUCUAAAUAGGCAAAUUAUCCUACCUGGUGUGUUGAAGGGACUCUACUCAAUAGCUUGCAUUUGGGAAAUAACUUUAAGAAGUCCUGUCUAAUCCAAAUAAAAUGCAUUCUACAUGCAGUUUAAAGAUUCUCUUCUGUUCAUCCUUGUAUUCCCCAGUCUUGGCUUAGGCAUAACCCAGGUUCUACAACCGGCAGCAUUGAGGAAUGGGCCAAAACAUGGCCUAUUUCUUCACUGGUUUUGUUCUAUUUCUUCUACCACUUGUUAGCUGUUGCUUCUGGCUCCUUUAAGAUCAGGCAAGGAAGAGGAACUAGAAGAAAAGGGCAAGGUUUAACUUGAUCAUUGCCAUUGGAAUCUGGCAUUGAGGCCAUCAGUUUGUCAGAUGUGCAAAUAAAUGCUGGUUCUUUCUCUCAAAGAAUGCUUUGUUGGACUCUAUAGAAUCCUUCCUACUGCCCUCCCCCUGCCUACUCAGGGAUCUCCAGCCCUAUACCUUUCUCUGAGGUGGAUGACAUAUUCUCUGGCUGGCCUGAAUGGACAUUGUCCCCUCAGUUACUGCUUCUAAGAGCAUACCUUGCACAUACUUGCUAUAGAAGGCAGUUUUCCUGAGCUGUGUACUUUACAGAUGUCUCAAAUCCAGAGACCUUAUUCUAGCCAAAAAGAAAACUCAGCACGUUUGUUUUUGUGUCUGAAACUUGGACAUGCAGCAGGUGCCAUUGCAGCUUUUUCUUGGAUAUUUGCUAUCCCAUGCCUUUUUCAGAUGACAGUCCAAAUUCUAGGCAAUGCAGUUGAAGGUUCCAGGAGAAUUCUUUUCUAUAUCCAGGUUCAGUAGUAACAUUAAAGUAACCUAUGAGUUUCUAUAGCUGAAUAAGCAUGGGACCUUAACUGAAAAGACUUUAUUGCAAAAAAUGUUGAUAAUCAUCUGAACCUUCAGUGAAUUGUAAUCUUUUUGCUGGUGGAGAGUCUUCCCUCAAUGUUGAUGGCUGCUGGUUGAUCAAGGUGGUGGUUGUGAAAAGUUGAAGUGGCUGUGGCAGUUCCUCUUCCAGCUUCUGGUAGCUACCGAGAUUUCUUGUCUUAUGGUCCCAUCACUGUAGUGUGUGCUUCCAUAGUCACAUUGCCAUCUCCUCUUUUAUCUGUUAUAAAA
rnacentral:lncRNA from 1 species